GCUCCGGACGCCAUUGCCUCCGUCAGUCCUGCUCAAAGUCGAGCUAGCGGUGACUCCCCUGACCCUCUUUUCCCCUCUAGAAGAACCACCAGAGCCCCUCGAGCCCUCCCCUAUCCUCGUUCCAUCCCUGGGUCAUUCGUGGCCUCGCCUUCGAAUCUGGCCGGAGCCCUCACCCGCGGGAGCCUACGUCGUCGCCGCUCGGAUCCUCGUCGCCGCCCAUGCUCUAGUAGGACGGAGGCGGCGUCCUCUCCUGAGCACGCCGGUGGCCGAGGCGCUUCGGGGGAUGGCCGGAGCCGUCGGGGGCCAGCGCCGGUGCCGCGCAGCCUCUCCUCUGCCUUCUCUGCCGCGGGAGGAAGAAGAAAGAGGAGGAGAGAGAGCGACUCGACAGGUGGGCCCUAACCCCACCUGUCGGUGAGAGGAGGUCUGAUACCGCUGGAUAAGUGGAUGCGUAACGCUAGUAAUGCGCUUUCCUUUUUGGAAAGCGUAUUUCCAGAGAAGGCGCCAUCAGUUUUUCCAGCUAGGACUUGAUAGUAAAUAUUUUAAUUGCAGAUCGGUCCUUCUACUUCAAACACCCAUAGCUUUUCAUCCAUAGCUCCGAUUAAGGUGAUUCCAACGCCCACGUCUUCGUCUCGUCGAGCCCUUCAUGUUGGUAUCAUUUUCAUUAUGUGUUCACAUUCUCAAAAUGACCAUGUUGCCCUUGCCCUUCUAUCAACCUUCUUCGAGAGAGAAUAGUUCCUGGCGAUCCUUUCUGCGGACUCUCCGCACUUCUUCCGGGAGUAUUCUUCUACCCCAUGCAAGCCAACCAUCUGAUAUAUGCCCUAAAGCAUUGCUCUGUGUUUUUCUUGUGUGUUUAAUUAAUGAUAUGCUUGUGGUAGAAAUAAUUAAACUCCCGCCAUUUCGAUAUUGUCAUUUACAUUACCUGCUACUGCUCAUCUUAUCAUUGCAUUCAUGACUUGUCGUGAUGGAUGGUUAUGUUUUUAUCAUGCUUAGCUACUACCAUCUCAAGUUAUUAUGAUAAACAACCAUGCUUGUUAAACACUUGCUAUGGCUAAACCUAGUCGGUUGAUCUAGAGUCACCUAUCGGGGCUUAUCCGUGCAACCACAUUUGCCGGUAUGGGACGAACUUGACUUGGUCUGAUCGUGUGCUCUUCCACCGGUACCACCAGACAGGGAAGGUUAUGCGCGCGCGCUACCUUGACCCGGUAGGCGGCGAUAACCUUGUGAGCCAGUUGAUUGUUUUGUGCCAGCGUCCCCGUUUGGGACAAUUUUGUUUGGCCACGACGGUGAAAGGUGUCAUGAGGACACAGGGGCCACCCAAGGCAGGACUCCGGGUGAGGAUGAAUGCCGGUGGUACGAUGGAAGAGGUACGGGUCAGGCAGGUUUCGUUGGAGCAACACAGGUCCAUCCGAAUGGGAUAACGAGGUCAGUGCUCCAUCGUGUGGGUAAAGUGUGCAACCUCUGCGGAGUGUAAAAUUUAUUAGAAUAGCCGUGUCCAGGGUAUUGGACAUCCCGUCUAGACCUCACUAGGUUGUCAACUGUAAAGGUGAUAAUAAUGAUGGAAGAACUCGUCUUGUGCAGACAUCCGAUGAUGUCAGGAAUAUGAUAUGUUAGCCAUGGGAUGGCUAUGAGAUGGGUGGACGGAUGACCACAUGAGUUGGAUUAGAUUUGGAUCAGAUUGAGAUUGGAUCGUCAUGACAUUCAGAGUAUAAAUCAUUUACUUAAUAUGCUUUACCUUAUCGUAUUUACUUUAGUAGUUAUCUUGCUAGAUAGUCCUAUUAUAUCAUGAUAUUUAAUCCUGCUAGAUAGGUAAGCUAUGCCAUGAUAAUUAACAUUGCUCUAAUAACAAGUGCAUGCUUGAAUGCCAUAGAUUGCAUUGCUUAGUGUAUAUGUUAGUUCGGUUUGCUUGCGAGUACAUUCAAAAGUACUUAGCGGCUUUUAACAUGGCCAGGUUCACGUAAGGAUCCAUCGUCCGCCAUCGAGGAACCGGAGCCUUCACGGGCUAGGAGAGUAACUAUUGGGGAUAUUAUCUGUUGGGUAACCCGCCCUA
rnacentral:lncRNA from 1 species